CCUACGGGAGGCAGCAGUAAGGAAUCUUCCACAAUGGGGGCAACCCUGAUGGAGCAACACCGCGUGUAGGAAGAAGGCCUUCGGGUCGUAAACUUCUUUUGUUAGCGAAGAAUAUGACGGUAACUAAC
rnacentral:rRNA from 1 species